CUACGGGUCGCUGCAGUGAGGAAUAUUGCACAAUGGAGGAAACUCUGAUGCAGCAACGCCGCGUGGAGGAUGACGCAUUUCGGUGUGUAAACUCCUUUUAUAUGUCAAGAAAAUGACGGUAGCAUAUGAAUAAGCUCCGGCUAACUCCGUGCCAGCAGCCGCGGUAAUACGGAGGGAGCAAGCGUUACUCGGAAUCACUGGGCGGAAAGGACGCGUAGGCGGGAUAGAAAGUCAGGUGUGAAAUCCUAUGGCUCAACCAUAGAACUGCACUUGAAACUUCUAACCUAGAGUAUGGGAGGGGAAGAUGGAAUUAGUGGUGUAGGGGUAAAAUCCGUAGAUAUCACUAGGAAUACCAAAAGCGAAGGCGAUCUUCUGGAACAAUACUGACGCUAAGGCGUGAAAGCGUGGGGAGCAAACAGGAUUAGAUACCCCCGUAGUC
rnacentral:rRNA from 1 species